rnacentral:rRNA from 1 species
AGUGAACGCUGGCGGUAGGCCUAACACAUGCAAGUCGAACGGCAGCACAGUAAGAUCUUUCUUUUACGGGUGGCGAGUGGCGGACGGGUGAGGAAUACAUCGGAAUCUACUUUUUCGUGGGGGGUAACGUAGGGAAACUUACGCUAAUACCGCAUACUACCUACGGGUGAAAGCAGGGGAUCUUCGGACCUUGCGCGAUUGUAUGAGCCGAUGUCGGAUUAGCUAGUUGGCUGGGUAAAGGCCCACCAAGGCGACGAUCCGUAGCUGGUCUGAGAGGAUGAUCAGCCACACUGGAACUGAGACACGGUCCAGACUCCUACGGGAGGCAGCAGUGGGGAAUAUUGGACAAUGGGCGCAAGCCUGAUCCAGCCAUACCGCGUGGGUGAAGAAGGCCUUCGGAUUGUAAAGCCCUUUUGUUGGGAAAGAAAAGCAGCAGGUUAAUACCCCGCUGUUCUGACGGUACCCAAAGAAUAAGCACCGGCUAACUUCGUG